rnacentral:rRNA from 1 species
UACCCUGAACGGUGGAUCACUUGGCUCGUGGGUCGAUGAAGAACGCAGCUAAUUGCGCGUCAACUUGUGAACCGCAGGACACAUGAACAUCGACAUUUCGAACGCACAUUGCGGUCUACGGAUACAAUUCCCGGACCGCGCCUGGCUGAGGGUCG